UGCAGUACAAGGCUAAAUAGGGCCCUGGGAUGAGGCACCUGUGACAGGGAGGGGUGCAAAACCAUAUAUAUAUAUAAAAAUAGUGGUAGCCCCAAAAUAUUGGGACAUAUAAAAAAGACAACUCCUGUAUCGCAGAGUAGCUGUUGACAUUAUAGUUGUGCGGUUAGUUUGUUGACUCUAGAGAACCUCGGGCAAAUCACACAUCCCCGUGGCGGCGACUUUGAACGCGGAUGUCAUCCAUAUUAACUUUCAAUGCCAGUUUCUGCGCCUACCAUGAUGACCACAGGAAAUCAGGGUUCCAUUCCGUACAGGGACCCUUAGAAACAGCUACCACAUGCAAGGAAGGCAGCAGGCGCGUAAAUGACCCACUCCCGACGCGGGAAGGUAGUGACG